rnacentral:rRNA from 1 species
AUGCGUUUGAUUGAAUGGCCUGUUCCAUUGCCUUGCGAUCUGGUGUUGCGGUUUGGCAUGGGAGUCGACAAUAUCUACGCACGGCCGUUCCGUGAUGUCACUAUAAGCAAUGGCGUGAUCAGGUUCGUCGAGCUGAAAUCUUGUCGGUGUAGCGAUACCCGUAAUGAGAAAGGGGUCAUUGGCCAAGGCUGGACGGUCACCACAUGGAACAGGGAGAUCUCCUCAAAUAAGUGGCAAAAGAGGUUCACUGUCAAGGCUGAUGACGUGCCUGUCACAGGUUCAAGUUACCCUAAGGUAUCGGGUGACAAGAGGUUGAGCUGGGACAAAAUGGUUCAUGGUGGGCCCACUCUAAGCUUGUAUGACGACGAUGUUGUCUACAUCAUGGCUAGACUAGACAUCCGCCACCCAGUUGCAUGGAUGCUUGCCAUUAACAUUAAAGAGAGAACACUGGAAGCGGUCAAGCAGUGUUCUGCUGAAAAGAUGCUUGAUCUUGAACCGACUUAUGUUCAGUGUGCCUUAUCCAACUACCUCAUGUAG